UUAGGAGGAGAGUAAAAAGAAAAAGGAAGAGAAAGUUGGAGAGAAAAAGGACCAGAGCCAUUGAAUCUUUGAAGUUAGAGAGAAGAAAAACGCUGAUUUCUUUUCUUCUCUUUACUGUCCAGAUUUCAUCAAACGGCCGAUCCCGCUUCGUGUGUGAUCCGAUCGACCUGAAAUUUUAAGGAGAGAUUUUCAACUCAUUGAUCUCUAAUCUGAACGGUGGAGAUCGGAUUUGGAGUUCCGGAAGGUUGUUGUUUCAGUCCGUGAACAGUGCGUCUUUGUUGCUGAUUUCUUCUCACCCGGGCAGUUCUGAUAUUCAGCCUUGAUCGAGAUUAAUCCGUGGUCUGAUCGAGAUGAUUUUUGGCUAGCACGUUCUUAACUCAAUGAUCUUCAUUUUGAACGGUGGAGAUUGGAUUUGGAGUUUGGAACAGUGGUGAUUUGUGUCCGGGAACAGUGACUCUGUUUUGGUGAGAUCUCUCCAUUGUUUUAUGCAAGUUGUUUUGUAUUUGCCAAGACUAAUUGUCUUGAGAUAUGGCUGAUGUAAACCUCUAGUUUCAUCUAGAGAGAAUUGUGUAACCCAUUGAUUAUAUUAGUGGAGGGUUUAAGUGGCCUAAGGGUCCCGUGGUUUUUACUUCUCACAUUUAGGAAGGUUUUCCACGCUAAAAAUUGUUGGUAUUCAUAUUCUUGUUGCAUUGGGUGAAUUGUUGCUAUUCUAUUAAAUUGAUUCCUAUUAGGUUCUCACAAGAGGGGAUAAAACCUGGUUGUGCAUUGUUUGCGUUUAUCCCAUCAAAGUGGUAUCAGAGCAUUGGUUCAAGAUAAUUUGUGCCUUGUGUAGAACAAUGGAAAGCAAUACAAGUAGAAUGAUCACUCUGAAUGGUUCCAAUUAUCAUGUUUGGAAAGGAAAAAUGGAAGACUUAUUGUAUGUGAAGGAUUAUUAUUUGUCUGUGUUUGCUUCUGAAAGGCCAGAAAAUAAAACUGAUGCAGAAUGGAAUUUACUUCAUCGACAGGUUUGCGGUUAUAUCAGACAGUGGGUAGAUGAUAAUGUUCUCAAUCAUGUUAGUGAAGAGAAACAUGCAAGGAGUCUAUGGAAUAAGCUCGAACAGUUAUAUGCUCGAAAGACUGGCAAUAAUAAAUUGUUUCUAAUAAAAAAGAUGAUGAGUUUGAAGUAUCAAGAUGGAACUCCUAUGACAGAUCAUUUGAAUACAUUCCAAGGUAUUAUUAAUCAGUUGGCUGGAAUGAAUAUCAAGUUUGAGGAAGAGGUGCAAGGGUUGUGGCUUCUUGGUACAUUGCCGGACUCGUGGGAGACGUUUAGAACUUCUUUGUCUAACUCAGCCCCAGAUGGUAUUAUGAAUAUGGACUUAGUUAAGAGUUGUGUUCUAAAUGAAGAAAUGAGAAGAAAGUCACAGGGCUCUUCUUCACAGUCAAGUGUCCUAGUUAUUGAGAAGAGGGGGAGGAGUAAGAGUAGAGGUCCAAAGAACAGAGAUAGAAGCAAAAGCAAGACUAACAAGUUUGCCAAUGUUGAGUGCCACUACUGCCAUUUGAAAGGGCAUAUAAAAAAAUAUUGUCGCCAAUUGAAGAGAGAUAUGAAACAAGGGAAAGUGAAGGAAAAUAAGAAUGACAAUGGUGGUGAAGAUGAUCAAGUUGCCACUACCACUUCAGAUUUCUUUAUUGUUUAUGAUAGUGAUGUUGUUAAUUUUGCUUGCCAGGAAACCAGUUGGGUGAUUGACAGUGGUGCCUCCAUCCAUGCUACGCCUCGGAAGGAUUUCUUUACAUCCUACACAUCCGGUGAUUUUGGAAGUGUUAGGAUGGGUAAUGAUGGCUCAGCUAAAGCCAUUGGUAUGGGAGAUGUACGUUUGGAGACUAGUAAUGGUACUAUGUUGACUUUGAAGAAUGUUAAACACAUUCCGGAUAUUCGCAUGAAUUUAAUCUCCACAGGAAAGCUUGAUGAUGAAGGGUUCUGCAACACCUUCCGUGAUAGUCAGUGGAAGCUCACUAGAGGUUCUAUGGUGAUAGCAAAAGGAAGUAAGAGUUCCUCAUUGUAUUUGAUGCAGGCAAGGGUAAUUGAUUCCAGUAUCAAUGCAGUGGAUGAUGAUAGUACAUUUGAGCUUUGGCACAACAGGCUUGGUCACAUGAGUGAGAAGGGCUUGAUGAUUUUGGCUAAGAAGAAUCUUCUUUCUGGUAUGAAGAAGGGAUCUUUGAAGAGGUGUGCUCAUUGCUUAGCAGGAAAGCAGACCAGAGUUGCAUUCAAAACACUUCGCCAUACAAGGAAGCCAGGUAUGCUUGAUUUAGUGUAUUCUGAUGUGUGUGGCCCCAUGAAACAAAAACACUUGGUGGAUCUCUAUAUUUUGUGACUUUUAUAGAUGAUCAUUCAAGGAAGAUUUGGGUUUAUACUUUGAAACAAAGACCAAGUGUUAGAUGUGUUUAGCAUUUCAUGCGCUUGUUGAAGACAUCUGGUGAAAGUUGAAAUGUAUCCGGACUGAUANNNNNNNNNNNNNNNNNNNNNNNNNNNNNNNNNNNNNNNNNNNNNNNNNNNNNNNNNNNNNNNNNNNNNNNNNNNNNNNNNNNNNNNNNNNNNNNNNNNNGAUGGGGGAGAACCUGAAAGUUAUGUGGAAGCCAUGGAAGAUGAAAAUAAGAUGAAGUGGGUUGAUGCUAUGCAAGAUGAGAUGGAGUCAUUGCAUGAGAACCAUUCUUUUGAGCUUGUCAAGUUGCCAAAGGGAAAAAGAGCUUUGAAGAACAGGUGGGUUUACAGAGUGAAGCAAGAAGAACACACUUCACAACCUCGUUACAAAGCUAGAUUGGUCGUCAAAGGGUUCAAUCAAAAGAAAGGUAUUGAUUUUGAUGAGAUUUUUUCUCCUGUUGUUAAGAUGUCAUCUAUUCGUGUGGUUUUGGGCUUGGCAGCUAGUCUUGAUUUGGAGAUUCAGCAGAUGGAUGUUAAGACUGCAUUUCUCCAUGGUGAUUUAGACAAAGAAAUUUAUAUGGAACAACCAGAGGGUUUCGUACUAAAAGGGAAAGAGGAUUAUGUGUGUAAGCUGAAGAAAAGUCUUUAUGGUUUGAAGCAAGCACCGAGGCAGUGGUAUAAGAAGUUUGAGUCAGUUAUGGGGGAGCAAGGCUACCGAAAAACUACUUCUGACCAUUGUGUAUUUGUGAAGAAAUUCUCUGAUGAUGAUUUUGUUAUAUUGUUGCUCUAUGUUGAUGAUAUCUUGAUUGUUGGCAGGAAUGUUUCAAGAAUUGAUAGCUUGAAGAAGCAGUUAAGCAAAUCCUUUGCCAUGAAGGAUUUAGGGCCAGUAAAGAGAAUUCUUGGCAUCAGAAUUGAGCGGGAUAGAGCAUCCAAGAAGCUAUGUAUGUUACAAGAGCAAUAUAUUGAAAAGGUGCUUGCAAGGUUUAACAUGAGCAAAGCCAAAGUGGUUAGUUCUUCUCUAGCUAGUCACUUUAAGCUAAGCAGCAGACAUAACCCUUCUACAGAUAAGGAGAAUGAAGACAUGAGAAGAGUUCCAUAUGCCUCAGCAGUAGGAAGUUUGAUGUAUGCUAUGGUAUGUACUAGACCAGACAUAGCUUAUGCAGUUGGUGUUGUUAGCCGGUUUUUAUCGAAUCCAGGAAGACAUCAUUGGGAAGCAGUCAAGUGGAUUAUGAGAUAUUUACGAGGCACUUCCAAGUUGAAACUCACUUUUGGAAGUGGGAAACCAAUACUUGUUGGAUACACUGAUUCAGACAUGGCAGGGGAUGUGGAUAAUAGAAGGUCUACUUCAGGCUAUUUGAUGACAUUCUCAGGAGGUGCUGUGUCUUGGCAAUCGAGACUACAGAAAUGUGUUGCACUUUCUACAACAGAGGCAGAGUACAUUGCAGCAGCAGAAGCAUGUAAAGAGUUGUUGUGGAUGAAGUGUUUCAUGCAAGAGCUCGGGUUUAAACAACAGCGCUAUGUGGUAUACUGUGAUAACCAAAGUGCUAUUCACCUCAGUAAGAAUUCUACCUAUCAUGCAAGAUCAAAACACAUUGAUGUGAGGUAUCAUUGGAUGAGAGAUGCUCUCAAUGAUAACUUGUUUGAAAUUGAGAAGAUACAUACAGAUAACAAUGGCUUGGAUAUGUUGACAAAGACACUACCAAGGGAGAAGCUUGGAGUUUGUUGUUCCAUCGCUGGGAUGGUGAGUCCCUCCACAUAGUCGGAAAGGGGGAGAUUUGUUGGGUUGGGUUAUUUUCUUCUUGUGGAGGAAAGCCCAAAGCCCAAACAUUUAAGGCUUCUUAGGUCUUAAUGUAUAAAAGGGAAGAAGAAAUCUCUCUCUUCUUCUUCUUCAUCUUUGCAGCCCUAGGAGGAGAGUAAAAAGAAAAAGGAAGAGAAAGUUGGAGAGAAAAAGGACCAAAGCCAUUGAAUCUUUGAAGUUAGAGAGAAGAAAAACGCUGAUUUCUUUUCUUCUCUUUACUGUCCAGAUUUCAUCAAACGGCCGAUCCCGCUUCGUGUGUGAUCCGAUCGACCUGAAAUUUGAAGGAGAGAUUUUCAACUCAUUGAUCUCUAAUCUGAACGGUGGAGAUCGGAUUUGGAGUUCCGGAAGGUUGUUGUUUCAGUCCGUGAACAGUGCGUCUUUGUUGCUGAUUUCUUCUCACCCGGGCAGUUCUGAUAUUCAGCCUUGAUCGAGAUUAAUCCGUGGUCUGAUCGAGAUGAUUUUUGGCUAGCACGUUCUUAACUCAAUGAUCUUCAUUUUGAACGGUGGAGAUUGGAUUUGGAGUUUGGAACAGUGGUGAUUUGUGUCCGGGAACAGUGACUCUGUUUUGGUGAGAUUUCUCCAUUGUUUUAUGCAAGUUGUUUUGUAUUUGCCAAGACUAAUUGUCUUGAGAUAUGGCUGAUGUAAACCUCUAGUUUCAUCUAGAGAGAAUUGUGUAACCCAUUGAUUAUAUUAGUGGAGGGUUUAAGUGGCCUAAGGGUCCCGUGGUUUUUACUUCUCACAUUUGGGAAGGUUUUCCACGCUAAAAAUUGUUGGUAUUCAUAUUCUUGUUGCAUUGGGUGAAUUGUUGCUAUUCUAUUAAAUUGAUUCCUAUUAGGUUCUCACAAGAGGGGAUAAAACCUGGUUGUGCAU
rnacentral:lncRNA from 1 species